AACGCAUAUUGCGCUCGAGCCUUCGGGCAAGAGCAUGUCUGCCUCAGCGUCGGUUUAUACCCUCACCCCUCCCAUUUUGUGUGGGUCGGACAACUCAUUGCUAGUUGGCCUACGGGGUGGAGCUGGCCUCCCCAAUCUCCUGUAGAUUGGGCUGGCUGAAGCACAGAGGCUUAAACAAGGACCCGAUAUGGGCUUCAACUGGAUAGGUAGGGCAGGCGUUCGCGCCAAACUACACGAAGUUGUAGCCUGUGGACUUUGUUAGGGGCCAAGCAGGGAACAUGCCUAACCGCAUGUCUAAACUUUCGACCUGAGCUCAGGCAAGGCUACCCGCUGAACUUAA
rnacentral:misc_RNA from 1 species